GUCACUGUCACGCUGCAUGCUGGAAGGAGACGAGGGAACCACUAAAAUCAGAUUCAAAGAACAUUUAUUUACUAUGAACGCAGGAGCAACACACCACAGCAUACAUUAAACAAUGCCAGACAAAAGGCACGGGAAAAUAUACUGGAAUUAAUGAAGGUAAUGGCAGACCAGUGAUGAUGAUUCACAACAAGGAGCAGGUACGGGAGAGUAAGGGAUUUUGGAGUCCAUGGGGAGAAUACGGGGAAGACAAAGGGAAAACCAAACAGGCAGACAGAUUGGGAUUCUGACAGUCACGUGAGCCGAUUGUUAACCUGUGCGCAUGCGCAGUAGCUAAAACAGCUUCGAAUAAAGGUGCAAACAUUUUUGAAACCCCCUGCUAACGACUAAAUGACGGUUGACCCGGAGGGAACAGAGUUCAGUUAUCAGGGGACGACUGUUCCUCAUCUCGUGGGUCUGAGAGGUGACAGCAACACCUUACUGUCUUGGAUUCCAUUGUUGCUGGGCAUCACAUAAACAACAGACUGCCAGCACCACAGUCCAUUACUGACAGUAAAGACCACAGUCAGAUAAACCUAAGGUGCAACUUCCUCACUCAACAUCUAUGCACCAGGAGAACACAAGGGAGCGACAUUGAGAGGAGGCGAUGAUGAACGGUGAAACUCGAGCAUGAAAUAUUGGACAGUUUCACAGAUCAGAAAUGCAGUCGAAGCUAAUGAGGA